rnacentral:rRNA from 1 species
UGAUUAAGCCAUGCGAGUCGAGAGGGUUCGGCCCUCGGCGUACUGCUCAGUAACACGUGGAUAACCUGCCCUAAGGAAGGGGAUACCCUCGGGAAACUGAGGAUAAUACCCUAUAGGUUACCGAUGCUGGAAUGCUCGGUAACUCAAAGUUCCGGCGCCUUAGGAUGGAUCUGCGGCCGAUUAGGUAGUUGUUGGGGUAACGGCCCAACAAGCCCGUAAUCGGUACGGGUUGUGGGAGCAAGAGCCCGGAGUUGGAUUCUGAGACACGAAUCCAGGCCCUACGGGGCGCAGCAGGCGCGAAAACUUUACAAUGCGGGCAACCGUGAUAAGGGAACCUCGAGUGCCUGUACAUGCAGGCUGUCUGGGUGUCUAAAACACACCCAAAGAAAGGGCCGGGCAAGACCGGUGCCAGCCGCCGCGGUAAUACCGGCGGCUCGAGUGGUGGCCACUUUUAUUGGGCUUAAAGCGUUCGUAGCUGGGUUGUUAAGUCUCUUGGGAAAUCCGGCGGCUUAACCGUCGGGCGUCUAAGAGAUACUGGCAAUCUUGGAACCGGGAGAGGUGAGGGGUACUUCGGGGGUAGGAGUGAAAUCCUGUAAUCCUCGAGGGACCACCUGUGGCGAAGGCGCCUCACCAGAACGGCUUCGACAGUGAGGGACGAAAGCUGGGGGAGCAAACCGGAUUAGAUACCCGGGUAGUCCCAGCCGUAAACGAUGUGCGUUAGGUGUAUCGACGACCACGAGUCGUCGAGGUGCCGAAGGGAAACCGUGAAACGUACCGCCUGGGAAGUACGGUCGCAAGGCUGAAACUUAAAGGAAUUGGCGGGGGAGCA